UCCUCAUGCCCUCACCUGUUUAUCCCCACAUCCACAUGUCCUCACCACCUGCUUCUUUGUCUGAUCACCAAUAAAUAGUGUGGGAUCCCAGAGCUCGGGGCCUUCACAGCCUCCAUACCAGUGUUGGCCCUGUGGACCCACCUUAUGUACUCUUAACUUGUCUUUUCUCAUUCCUUUGACUCCUCCGGACUUCGUAGCCCCCACGGCCUGGUGUUGGGUCUGAUCACCCCAACAUUUCUGGCGCCCAACAUGGGGCUAUGAAGACCCCGGUGAAGGAAUGCUAGAGCAUGUGGAAGCAGAAGAUGCAUUGUCAGAGGACACCGAGGAUGACUGAAAGAAGCUCGGCGGAUUAAGAAACUGAAAUACAGAUGGAAUCAAUGGCAUGGCCAGGUCAUAUGGUCAGUAACUAAUGAAGCUGGAGGCUUAAUAUACUGCCAAAUAAAAUUAUGGGAGUGACCUGAAGAUCCAGAUUGGAUCCCAGGGCCAGAACUGGAUGGUAAUUUGAUUGAAUUUGUUAAAGUAUCUAAAAUGACUGUUAUCACAAGUGGGGUUAGUCAGCCUUAAACCCUCAAAAAAGGAAGGUCUCAGAGAUAAAAAGCAGUAUUCUCUAUUAAAACAUGAUUCAUGGUUUAGAUCUCAAGAACUUCAACCACAAAAAAAAACUUGUUUUAAACAUGAUUCAUGGGAGUUUUUCAUUCAUCAAAAUAUUUGAUACUUGGGCAAAGCCAUUAGGCCAGGAUUAUAAAUGCUGCAGAGGCCAAAGAGAUAAAUGGCGCUGUUCAGAGGGAGAUAACAGGGUGUGGUUAGGGCUGAUGAAGUAAGUGAGCGAAUGAGCUGAUUAAAGGUAUUGGGAUUAAUGUUUUUCUCAUCCCAAAAGUGAGAUGGGUGACUCAUGUUCUCUUAGCUUAAGGUCAUUAAAUAUUCCAUAGACAUUAUUCUUUGUCCAGGAUAACAAAAAGCUAGUUGCACAAAUUUAAAAUAUCCCUGUCUCUGGGACAAUGAUUUCUCAUUGCAAUUUGACCUUCUGCUUUUAAAAAUCAGACUCAUAAACUAGGUUAAUGUAAGUCCAUUCCUGAAAGAUGAAUUCACUCUUGAUAUACAGAGAAAUCAGGUUUCUAAGCCUGAUUUACUAUACAUACCAGCCUGUGAGCCCCCUUGGGAGACACAAUAUAGCCUUGCUUUGUGAACAUAAAGCAUACAUCAUUUCCUUGUGGACGACAAAUAUGUUUUUCUUAUUUGUUAUAUGCUGAUGAUUUUUAAAUUUGUCUGUGGAGGUCACAACUCUCAUUAGUCAAAAAUUUAAAAAGCUGUACCAGGCUUGCUGUAAAAAUUAGAUGAUUUAAGGUAGUUUGUUAAACAUUUUUUAUUGCAUUAAACUUUUAGGAAAUUUUAAGAAUAACUGUGAGAGAUUCAAUAGAUACAUAGGUAAAGGACACAAGCAUGUUAUCUACAAUAGAGGAACUACAAAUGUCUAGCACAUAGUUGAAAAAAACAUUUGGCCCCCACAAUUAUGCCAGCUAUGUAGUAUUUCUAUCUCAAGCUCAGGCCACUCCCCCAAGCUCCAGAUUCAAAUGUCCAAUCGCUCAUGUGAGAUCACUUAGAAGUCUACUGGCAUCUCAAUUCAACAUGUCCAAAACAGAAUCUUUGAUUCACUCUCCUUUUUCCCACAUACCUGGUCUCCUACCUCAAUUAAUUGCAUUACUUUGUUCAUCAGGCAAAAUAAACAGGAAUCAUGCUUACUUUUUUCUCCUUCCCAGUUCUUCCAUACAAAGUCUGUCAUUGAGCUGGACCUGGUGAGGUCCUGGACUCUUGGGUGCUGCCUGGACCCACCCAAAUGCCAGAAUGGGAGUGACUUGAUUAAGUUCCUCAGGGAGCUAGGUUAAGCAGAUAACCUUUCUCUUGUUUCACACACACACAAAAAUCUUGCCCUCCUAGAAAUUCACCUCUCAAAACAAUACCAGCCAAGUAGAAGAGGAAAAGAAGAGCAAGUGUCUAGAGGCCCUGAUUUGCCUGGACACCCAUCUGGGUGAUUUGGGGUGGCCAACUUGAAAGAGCUUUUUUUUCCCCCAAGCCAUUCUCUCCUGUUCUCAGCCAGCUUCCUGCAACCAUGAGGUCAGAAACAAAAACAAGUAUGUUUGUGCUUUUACAUUUGUGAUGGGCAAGGUACUCUAAAACGCAGGGUUCAGGGCAGGGGCCCCUUUCUUCUGAGUUCAAGAAAGCCACUGAGUCUUUUUUUUUUAGACAAGGUCUUGCUCUGUCACCCAGGCUAAAGUGAAGUGGCAGGAACAUGGCUCACUGCAGCCAGUCUCAUUCUCCUGGGCUCAAGCAAUCCUCUCACCACAGCUCCCCAAGUUGCUGGGACUACAAGCACAUGCCAUAGUGGCCUGCUAACUUUUUUAUUAUUAUUAUUGUAGAGACAAGGUCUCACUUUGUUGCCCAUGCUGAUUUCAAAUUCCUGGGCUCAAGCAAUCCUCCCAUCUCAGCUUCCCUAAGUGCUGGGAUUACAGGCAAGAUACACCACUGUACCUAGCUUUUAUUCAUUUUAUUAUUCAUCUUUAUUGCUUUCAUUGCACAUGCUGUUAACUUCUUAUGAACUCUUUGUUCUAAUAAAUAAGCAUAUCCAGGUUUUUCAUAAAUAAAUGAGGAGUCUAUAAAUUCUUACUAGUUUUAAUAGAAACAUUGCCACUAAAAUGGUGUAUUCUAGCUGUGUGAGCUUUUGGAAAAUGUUUUCAUUUCCUUUAUGUUUGAAUGUUCCUUCCAGGUCUUUGAAAAUAUACAUUCUGAGUUGAAAAGCUUUAUAAUAGGUAAAACUCAUUAACCCAUAUACUUUCCAUGCUGGGCACAGCAGGUGUGGUAGGUAGAAAUAUAAGAUGACUCCCAAGAUUUUUGCACCCUGGCAUACACAUAUGCUUUUCCAGUUGUUGAAACACUAAUUUAGGUGCUGCUGUGAAGGGAUUUUGUAGAUGUGAAUAAUGUUCCAAAUCAGUUGGCCUUAAGAUAGAAAGAUGAUCCUGGAUGGGCCAGAUCUUAUCAGUUGAGUCCUUAAAGGGAACAGCACCCUUCCUGACAAAGAGAUUCAAAGCAUGAAGGAUUAAAAAUGAGAGAGAUUCUCUAUUGCCAGCUCUGGAAAUAGAGUAGGUCACGUGGUAAGUCGUUCAAGUGGCCUCUAGUUGCUGAGAGCAGCUCCCAGGUAAGAGCCAACAAGGAAAUAAUGACUACAAGGAGAUGAAUCUGGCCACACUAUGUAAGCUUGGAAAGGAACUCUGAAUGCCAGAUGAGGAUGCAACCAAGCCAACACCUUGAGUUUAGCCUUAUGAGAUCCUGAGUCGAGAAUCCAGUGAGACGAUGCCCAGAUUUACCACAACCCUAGAGGCUAAAGACAAUACCCCCUAAUUAUCUCACAAUGCUGUAUUGUCUUUAGUCUCUAAGGUUAUUUAGUAAUUUAGUAAUAAAAAGCAAAUCCAGUAGGACCAUGCUAAAUUAAGAUACAACCUCUAUAUCAUAUGAUGCAGUGUGAAUCAGCACAGUAGAGAUUGCAGUGUCUCUGGAAGCCAUUUCUAUACUGGACAAUUCUUUGCAAUAAUUCAACUACACGUGCAAGUGAUCAAAUUAAUAUAUCUUACAAAACUAAGUGUAUCUUCAACAAUACUCUUCCUUAACCAGUACCAAAAAAAAAGAUCUGUGAAUAUUCUCUAACACCUCUCAACACAAGGGCAAGUGUCACAGAUGGAAGUGAAGACUAAAGAGAGACAAUAGAAUUCACUGAUUAAGGUUUAAAUAUCUUACUUUAGCAACUUUUUAUUUGCAAAAAUAGAAAACUGAUCAUGUGAACACAUUUGCAUUAAAAGAUGUUUCUGCAAAUUAGGGGCCCUGAAAUUAAGCUUCAUUAGGUUCAUGGUAAGUCUACCUCUCUCUUUAUCUAUAGCACUUGGCAAAGGGCCUGGCAUCUGAAUGACAGGUCUCAAAUGUUCUUUUUCAUAUGAUUACAUUAAAUAAAUCAUUAAAUUGUUAUUUACUUAAAUAACUUUAAAAUUUUCUUGAGUGAAUUAACACUACUUGAAGGAUCCCUGUAAACUGAGUCCACUUUCAAUUUCCUAUCUACUGGGUCACUUAUAACAAACCAUGUUACACGUAUACUUCCUCAUCUCUGCUUGUUUCCAAGAAAGGAAAGGUAAGUAAUUUAGUUUUUGUAUUUCAAUUAGUAAUUCAAUAACCUGUCUGUUUUUUGUUUUUUUAAAGCAAAAUAGCUUAUCUCAGAGUUCAGAUCAGACAAUCUCACCACUGGUGUUUGGAUUCAGUGUCUUUUGAGAUCACCCUCUCUGGAAGGAAUCAACUGCCUUGUCAUGAGGAUACUCACACAGUCUUACGGAGAAGUCAAAGAACCGAGGUCUCCUGCCAACAGCUGGGUGAGUGAGCCAUCUUGGAUGAAAAUCCUCCAGCCCCAGUCAAGCCUUCAAAUGACUGCAGCCCUGGCUGAAAAAUUAAAUGCAACAUAUGAGAGACCCUAAGGCAGAAUCACCCAGGUAAGCUGCUCGUAGAUUUCUGAUGCACAAAAAUUGUGUGAGAGAUCAAAUGUUUAUUGUUGUUUCAAGGCUGUGCAGUAUUUUCUCAUAAUCUGAACAUUUGUAGAGGUUUCUGAGAAUUGAUCUCCAGAUUCCAUACAUUGGGAAAUUUAAAACAGCAGUGGAAGUACAGCAAUUUUUCUUGCCACAAACCUGAAUUAACCUUACAGAUUUUUUAAUAGGAGCCCUGAGAUAUAAUUUUACUUUUUGGAGAAUAUACUUACCCUUUUAAUAGCUUAACUUUUCUUUUUUAGAAUAAAAAUGUUUGGAAAACUAGACUCCUGUUUCUCCAGAUUAGAAAUGAAAUUUGAUCCUGUGGUGGCAGUUUUUCUCUCUCUCAUCAUUACAUAUGUUAGAAAUUCUGAUAAGGAGAUUGUUAGAAGCAGAGAUAAAGAUUAUAUAAAAGAGAGAGGAGACAGAAAAGGAGGUGAAAUGUAAUCUCACAAUUCCCUGCACCACUUAUUUAUUUCCUAAAAUCUUGUCUCACACAAAAGACAUCAGAGACAGAAAGUUUUCUCUGUCCACAUCUCCCAUAGGGACAAAGAUAGCUUACCAUUUCUUGGAAAAUAAAGAAAAAAUGAAUUUUUCUUUACCAAAAUUUAAACACCAUUAGGGAUAGAGGUUAAAAUUAAUUGAGACAUCUGUAAGAGUAACAAGUACCGCUACUCUGGGUACAUUGCCCAUGGGGUAGCCCUGCUCCACAAGAAGCAGUAAAGCUAAAACAAACAAACAAACAAAAAAUAAAAAAAGAGUAACAAGUAGUUCUCUCUUUAGCACCAUGUGAAGUAUAUUUUCAUGAUCCCAUUCCCAUUCCAAUCCCAAAUUUUCCAAAGCAAGGAACACCUACUAUUUAACAUAAAACAUAGGACAUAUUAAAGACAAAUGAAGAGUAGGGUUUGAAACCGUUGCAAGAUCUGGUCUCCACUGACAAAAAAAAAAAAAAAAAAAAUUCAACAAUGUAGAUGAUAAACUACUACCGACUUUACCUGGUUGUGUAGGAAUUGUUCCCUUAAUAUACUUGGAUACAUUUGUAGAAAAUAAGCCACCUGCAACUUGGUAUAUAUAUACUCUCCUAGCAAUAAUGUACUUUUCAGAGUGUCUUCACAUCUAUCGCUAGAAAUGCUAUUAUGUAAGUAACCAGAAUUAUUAUCUCUUUUGAACAGAUGAUGAAAGUUUGAAGUGGACUUUCUCAAGGACAGCUAGUUAGUGGCAAGGAAGAGACUGUAAUUCAGACUUUCUGGAAUCCAAAAUGGAGCCUUUCUCCUGACCAUUGUCUCUGUUGAAUGCACUAAGCAAAUCUCUAGGACUUAGAAAAAAUAAUUAAUUUAAGAGUAUUAUUCUUGUUUUUAAUUCACUUUUAAGUUCUAUAUGAAUUAUUAAUUCAAUAUCUAUUAUAUAGUGGUUUUUUUUUAAGAUAGGGUCUCACUCUGUUGCCCAGGCUGGAGUGCAGCAGGAAUGCAGUGGCACAAUCAUUGCUUACUGCAGCCUCAAACUCCUGGGCUCAAGGGAUCCUCCCACCUUAG
rnacentral:lncRNA from 1 species